AGCCAGACUCCUACGGGAGGCAGCAGUGAGGAAUAUUGGUCAAUGGGCGCGAGCCUGAACCAGCCAAGUCGCGUGAGGGAUGAAGGAUCUAUGGUUCGUAAACCUCUUUUAUAAGGGAAUAAAGUGCGGGACGCGUCCCGCUUCGCAUGUACCUUAUGAAUAAGGAUCGGCUAACUCCGUGCCAGCAGCCGCGGUAAUACGGAGGAUGCGAGCGUUAUCCGGAUUUAUUGGGUUUAAAGGGUGCGUAGGCGGGACGGUAAGUCAGGGGUAAAAAUGCAGAGCUCAACUCCGUCGAGCCGUUGAAACUGCCGUUCUUGAGUGAGCGAGAAGUAUGCGGAAUGCGUGGUGUAGCGGUGAAAUGCAUAGAUAUCACGCAGAACUCCGAUUGCGAAGGCAGCAUACCGGCGCUCAACUGACGCUGAAGCACGAAGGCGUGGGUAUCGAACAGGAUUAGAUACCCCGGUAA
rnacentral:rRNA from 1 species